rnacentral:rRNA from 1 species
AGCAGCCGCGGUAAUUCCAGCUCCAAUAGCGUAUAUUAAAGUUGUUGCAGUUAAAAAGCUCGUAGUUGAAUUUCGGGGUUAGUAGGUUGGUCAUGCCUCUGGUAUGUACUGGUCUCACUGAUUCCUCCUUCCUGAUGAACCUUGAUGCCAUUAAUUUGGUGUUUUGGGGAAUUUGGACUGUUACUUUGAAAAAAUUAGAGUGUUUAAAGCAAGCUAACGCUUGAAUACAUUAGCAUGGAAUAAUGAAAUAGGACGUUCGAUCCUAUUUUGUUGGUUUCUAGGAUUGACGUAAUGAUUAAUAGGGAUAGUUGGGGGCAUUAGUAUUCAAUUGUCAGAGGUGAAAUUCUUGGAUUUAUUGAAGACUAACUACUGCGAAAGCAUUUGCCAAGGAUGUUUUCAUUAAUCAAGAACGAAAGUUAGGGGAUCGAAGACGAUCAGGUACCGUCGUAGUCUUAACCAUAAACUAUGCCGACUAGGGAUCGGAUGAUGUUAAUUUUUUAAUGACUC